rnacentral:misc_RNA from 1 species
GAAAUGCGAUAAGUAGUGUGAAUUGCAGAAUUCAGUGAAUCAUCGAAUCUUUGAACGCACAUUGCGCCCCUUGGUAUUCCAUGGGGCAUGCCUGUUCGAGCGUCAUUGACACCCUCAAGCUCUGCUUGGUGUUGGGCGUCUGUCCCCGCGGGGACUCGCCCCAAAGUCAUUGGCAGCCUCUGCCCGCUUCCCGCGCAGCACUGUCGCGCUUUUAGGGAGGACACAUGGGCAGACUGGCGUCCAGCAAGCGCCUUUUUUUUUCAACCAGUUUGACCUCGAAUCAGGUAGGGAUACCCGCUGAACUUAA